ACGGAAUAGAUACCCUGGUAGUCCACGCUGUAAACGAUGAUUACUCGAUGUUGGCGAUACACAGUCAGCGUCUGAGCGAAAGCAAUAAGUAAUCCACCUGGGGAGUACGAUCGCAAGAUUGAAACUCAAAGGAAUUGACGGGGGCCCGCACAAGCGGAGGAGCAUGUGGUUUAAUUCGAUGAUACGCGAGGAACCUUACCUGGGCUCGAACGUAAGAUGACUGUAGGUGAAAGCUUACAUCUCUUCGGAGCAUUUUACGAGGUGCUGCAUGGUUGUCGUCAGCUCGUGCCGUGAGGUGUCGGGUUAAGUCCCAUAACGAGCGCAACCCCUACCUUUAGUUGCCAACAGGUCAUGCUGGGGACUCUAAAGGAACUGCCUACGCAAGUAGUGAGGAAGGCGGGGAUGACGUCAAAUCAGCACGGCCCUUACGUCCAGGGCUACACACGUGCUACAAUGGCCGAUACAGAGGGCAGCUACCUGGUGACAGGAUGCAAAUCUCCAAAGUCGGUCUCAGUUCGGA
rnacentral:rRNA from 1 species